GAUGAACGCUGGCGGCGUGCCUAAUACAUGCAAGUCGAGCGAACAGACGAGGAGCUUGCUCCUCUGACGUUAGCGGCGGACGGGUGAGUAACACGUGGAUAACCUACCUAUAAGACUGGGAUAACUUCGGGAAACCGGAGCUAAUACCGGAUAACAUGUUGAACCGCAUGGUUCAACAGUGAAAGACGGUCUUGCUGUCACUUAUAGAUGGAUCCGCGCCGCAUUAGCUAGUUGGUAAGGUAACGGCUUACCAAGGCAACGAUGCGUAGCCGACCUGAGAGGGUGAUCGGCCACACUGGAACUGAGACACGGUCCAGACUCCUACGGGAGGCAGCAGUAGGGAAUCUUCCGCAAUGGGCGAAAGCCUGACGGAGCAACGCCGCGUGAGUGAAGAAGGUCUUCGGAUCGUAAAACUCUGUUAUUAGGGAAGAACAAAUGUGUAAGUAACUAUGCACGUCUUGACGGUACCUAAUCAGAAAGCCACGGCUAGCUACGUG
rnacentral:rRNA from 1 species